rnacentral:rRNA from 1 species
GGUUGAUCCCGCCGGACCUGACUGCUAUCGGAUUGAUACUAAGCCAUGCGAGUCUUUGUAGCAAUACAAGGCAUACGGCUCAGUAACGCGUAGUCAACCUAACCUAUGGACGGGAAUAACCUCGGGAAACUGAGAAUAAUGCCCGAUAGAACACUAUACCUGGAAUGGUUUGUGUUCCAAAUGAUUUAUCGCCGUAGGAUGGGACUGCGGCCUAUCAGUUUGUUGGUGAGGUAAUGGCCCACCAAGACUAUUACAGGUACGGGCUCUGAGAGGAGUAGCCCGGAGAUGGGUACUGAGACACGGACCCAGGCCCUAUGGGGCGCAGCAGGCGAGAAAACUUUGCAAUGUGCGAAAGCACGACAAGGUUAAUCCGAGUGAUUUGUGCUAAACGAAUCUUUUGUUAGUCAUAGAACCACUAACGAAUAAGGGGUGGGCAAGUUCUGGUGUCAGCCGCCGCGGUAAAACCAGCACCUCAAGUGGUCAGGAUGAUUAUUGGGCCUAAAGCAUCCGUAGCCGGCUCUGUAAGUUUUCGGUUAAAUCUGUACGCUCAACGUACAGGCUGCCGGGAAUACUGCAGAGCUAGGGAGUGGGAGAGGUAGACGGUACUCGGUAGGAAGUGGUAAAAUGCUUUGAUCUAUCGAUGACCACCUGU